AUGGUGAAUGGCGGCAUGCGGAUGGGGAAGCAACAACCUGCAUCGUCAUCGUGGGGACGAGAUCGAUUGGGCAGCGAGGCUGAGGAUGGGAAGAGAGCAGCGCGCAGGUGCGCCUUCUCGCAGGCGGACGAGGCCGGAGGAACUCGCGACGAGCCGGGAGGACAGGGAAAAGGAGGCAGUGAGGCGCAAGCUCGAGGCGUACAAGAUGGACAAACUCGUCAGUAUCGUUAUCAAGUACGACGUCUAGCUUCUCUUUGGAGAGUCGAAGCUGCACCUCUGUCAUUUUUUCUUGCGUGGAUGCUCGUAAUGCUUUCAUGUGAUGGUAUAAUUGAACAUUUUUUGUGUGUAAGUGUUACAAAAGAGUUGUCAUCUUCGACUUUUCCUUUAUUUUUCCUUUCGCCCAUUUGGUUCCACCUGGGAGAGUUUCUUUUUCCAUCUGAGUUUGUAUGUUAG
rnacentral:rRNA from 1 species